UGGGGAAUUUUGGACAAUGGGGCGAAAGCCUGAUCCAGCAAUGCCGCGUGUGUGAAGAAGGCCUUCGGGUUGUAAAGCACUUUUGUCCGGAAAGAAAUCCUUGGCUCUAAUACAGUCGGGGGAUGACGGUACCGGAAGAAUAAGCACCGGCUAACUACGUGCCAGCAGCCGCGGUAAUAGCGUAGGGUGCAAGCGUUAAUCGGAAUUACUGGGCGUAAAGCGUGCGCAGGCGGUUUGCUAAGACCGAUGUGAAAUCCCCGGGCUCAACCUGGGAACUGCAUUGGUGACUGGCAGGCUAGAGUAUGGCAGAGGGGGGUAGAAUUCCACGUGUAGCAGUGAAAUGCGUAGAGAUGUGGAGAAUACCGAUGGCGAAGGCGAGCCCCCUGGGCCAAAUACCUGGACGCUCAUGCACGAAAGCGUGGGGAGCAAACAGGAUUAGAUACCCUGGUAGUCCACGCCCUAAACGAUGUCAACUAGUUG
rnacentral:rRNA from 1 species